rnacentral:rRNA from 1 species
UACGAGGGGGGCGAGCGUUGUUCGGAUUUACUGGGCGUAAAGGGCGCGCAGGCGGCGCAUUUUGUCAGGCGUGAAAGCCCCGGGCUUAACCUGGGAACUGCGUUUGAUACGGAUGGGCUAGAGUUCGGGAGAGGAGAGUGGAAUUCCCAGUGUAGAGGUGAAAUUCGUAGAUAUUGGGAAGAACACCGGUGGCGAAGGCGGCUAUCUGGCCCGUAAUUGACGCUGAGGCGCGAAAGCGUGGGGAGCAAACAGG